rnacentral:rRNA from 1 species
AACGAACGCUGGCGGCGCGCUUAACACAUGCAAGUCGAACGAGAAGGCGUAGCAAUACGCUUGUACAGUGGCGAACGGGUGAGUAAUACGUGGGCGACCUACCCUCGAGUGGGGAAUAACCCGCCGAAAGGCGGGCUAAUGCCGCGUACGCUUCCAUCUUUAUGGAGGUGGAAGGAAAGCCGUGCCGUGGGCACGGCGCUCAAGGAUGGGCUCACGUCCUAUCAGCUUGUUGGUAGGGAACGGCCUACAG